rnacentral:rRNA from 1 species
GACUCAUAAUAACUUUACGGAUCACAAUAAUUUAUUUUGUGACAUAUCAUUCAAGUUUCUGACCUAUCAGCUUUAGACGGUAGGGUAUUGGCCUACCGUGGCUAUGACGGGUAACGGGGAAUUAGGGUUCGAUUCCGGAGAGGGAGCCUGAGAAACGGCUACCACAUCUAAGGAAGGCAUGGCCGUUCUUAGUUGGUGGAGUGAUUUGUCUGGUUAAUUCCGUUAACGAACGAGACCUUAACCUGCUAAAUAGACAUAAGAAAUAUAUUAAUAUUUUUUAUUUGUCUUCUUAGAGGGACUUUGUAUGUUUAAUACAGGGAAGUUUUAGGCAAUAACAGGUCUGUGAUGCCCUUAGAUGUCCUGGGCCGCGCGCGCGCUACACUGAUGCAUCCAUCAAGUAUAUUUAUCCUGUUUCGAAGGAAAUGGGA